rnacentral:rRNA from 1 species
GACGGAGGAUGCAAGCGUUAUCCGGAAUUAUUGGGCGUAAAGCGUCCGCAGGUGGCUGUUCAAGUCUGCUGUCGAAGCGCAGAGCUUAACUCUGUACAGGCGGUGGAAACUGAAGAGCUAGAGUAUGGUAGGGGUAGAGGGAAUUCCCGGUGUAGCGGUGAAAUGCGUAGAUAUCGGGAAGAACACCAGUGGCGAAAGCGCUCUACUGGGCCAUAACUGACACUGAGGGACGAAAGCUAGGGGAGCGAAAGGG